rnacentral:rRNA from 1 species
AUUGAACGCUGGCGGCAUGCUUUACACAUGCAAGUCGAACGGCAGCGCGGGGCAACCUGGCGGCGAGUGGCGAACGGGUGAGUAAUAUAUCGGAACGUACCCAGAAGUGGGGGAUAACGUAGCGAAAGUUACGCUAAUACCGCAUACGAUCUACGGAUGAACGUCGGGGACCGCAAGGCCUUAUGCUUUUGGAGCGGCCGAUAUCUGAUUAGCUAGUUGGUGAGGUAAAGGCUCACCAAGGCGACGAUCAGUAGCUGGUCUGAGAGGACGACCAGCCACACUGGAACUGAGACACGGUCCAGACUCCUACGGGAGGCAGCAGUGGGGAAUUUUGGACAAUGGGCGCAAGCCUGAUCCAGCAAUGCCGCGUGAGUGAAGAAGGCCUUCGGGUUGUAAAGCUCUUUUGUCAGGGAAGAAACGGUAGAGGCUAAUAUCCUUUGCUAAUGACGGUACCUGAAGAAUAAGCACCGGCUAACUACGUG